GAUGAACGCUGGCGGCGUGCCUAAUACAUGCAAGUCGGGCGAACAGAUGAGGAGCUUGCUCCUCUGACGUUAGCGGCGGACGGGUGAGUAACACGUGGAUAACCUACCUAUAAGACUGGGAUAACUUCGGGAAACCGGAGCUAAUACCGGAUAAUAUAUUGAACCGCAUGGUUCAAUAGUGAAAGACGGUUUUGCUGUCACUUAUAGAUGGAUCCGCGCCGCAUUAGCUAGUUGGUAAGGUAACGGCUUACCAAGGCAACGAUGCGUAGCCGACCUGAGAGCGAGAUCGGCCAGCCGGGAACUGAGAAUCGGCCCAGACUCCGACGGGAGGCAGCAGUAGGGAAUCUUCCGCGAUGGGCGAAAGCCUGACGGAGCAACGCCGCGUGAGUGAUGAAGGUCUUCGGAUCGUAAAACUCUGUUAUUAGGGAAGAACAAAUGUGUAAGUAACUAUGCACGUCUUGACGGUACCUAAUCAGAAAGCCACGGCUAACUACGUG
rnacentral:rRNA from 1 species